GUGGGAGCAAAGCUUGCUCGCGGUGCAGGCGCCUCGGUUCCAGAGAUACCGCGUUGUUUUUAUCGCGGGCAAGCCUUGCUCCCAC
rnacentral:misc_RNA from 1 species